GGAGAAGUGUAAUCUUGGAUCUUUCGAGAUGGGCACUAGCGAUGCGGUGAACCAGCCGUAUCUAUAAAACGGUGAAUGUAAAAAGAAAAACUGCCACUACGAUGUUACAAGAUAAUAAAAGAUCAACAGCAGCAGUGCAUUGCAACAACUAUGGCAUAUUACAAGGUUCUAUGUCAGGCAAAAUUCUACAUUGAUUUUCCUGAGAUACUGAUGUAUUAUCAAGACUUAUCGCGCGCGUAUGUGCGUGCGUGCGUGUGUGUGUGUGUGUGUGUGUGUGUGUAAACUAUUACAUGUAUGCAAGUACCAAUAAUUAAAUAAUAUUUAAUAUCAA